GUUCAUUAUAAGUUACUUUACCACUCUCUCCGAUGUCUUUAAGCUAUCUAGUCAUCAGGAGAUUUACGAAAAUUUCGAUAUAGCUAAGGAUGAUAUGAAUACAAGUAUUGCAGAAGAAAAUAUAACAAAUUACAAUUUCGUUGAUGUAUUGUUGAAAGUAUUAAAAUUAAAGUCAGAUUUAAAUGGAACAAUUUUUGGCGACAUUGAAAAUAGAUGUGAAUUAAAUGCACAAUUCGAUAAAUUCAUAAAUGAUACUCGCUAACUAAUCAAACAUUCUAUAAUUAUAAAAAUGUGUAAUCCCUACAUCCAUACAUUAAUUGAAUUUAUUAUUAUUAUUAUUAUUGCUUUAAGUUCAUUUAAAUUUAGUAUUAUUUAUUAAUAAUAAACUCUUACUAUGUUUUAUGUUUAAAAUAACCUGUCAACAUUAUUCUUUGGGCUAUGCAUGAGAUAAAUAUCACAAAGAUCUUUUUAACCUUUAAUUUAAUAUUCGUAUAAGAAUUUAAAAGGUACGAUAAGAAAAACAGCGUUUUAAAUGAAAAAUUCCAUAGAACUAAUACAAUACCAAUUUUUUGUAGGUCAGAUGUAUUGUACAUUACAUAUAAUUUAUAUUUACUGAACAUUUAAAAUAUAUCUUUAAUUUGUCUUUGACAUAAAACAAUAGUUUUACUUUAUUAUAUAAUCUAUCUCUCUAGUAACUGAGGUACGCGAUUGCCUGUGUCCCCUUCAAAUAAUUAAAACUCAUUUAAGGAGAUAGGGACAAUAUUUGGGUUGACGUCGAGUUGCUACCGAUUCUUUGUUUAAACCAAGAUCCUCAAGUAUUAAUCGAACCCUAACAAAUGGUAAAAUAAUAUUUUGACAUAUUUUUUAUGUUAAUAUAGAGGAAAAAAUUAAG